rnacentral:misc_RNA from 1 species
GAUGAAGAACGUAGCGAAAUGCGAUACGUAAUGUGAAUUGCAGAUUUCAGUGAAUCAUCGAAUCUUUGAACGCACAUUGCGCCCUUUGGUAUUCCUUAGGGCAUGCCUGUUCGAGCGUCAUUUAAACCUUCAAGCUAAGCUUGGUGUUGGGUGACUGUCCGCUUCACGGCGGACUCGCCUCAAAAUUAUUGGCGGCCGGUACAUUGGCUUCGAGCGCAGCAGAAACGCGAACUCGGGCCCGUCGUAUUGGCUCCCAGAAGCUAUCUUCACAAUUUUGACCUCGGAUCAGGUAGGGAUACCCGCUGAACUUAAGCAUAUCAAUAAGCGGAGGA